AGUUCGGAUUGUGGUCUGCAACCCGACUACAUGAAGCUGGAAUCGCUAGUAAUCGCGGAUCAGAAUGCCGCGGUGAAUACGUUCCCGGGUCUUGUACACACCGCCCGUCACACCAUGGGAGUCGGAAAUGCCCGAAGCCGGUGACCUAACCUUUCAGGAAGGAGCUGUCGAAGGCAGGUCUGAUAACUGGGGUGAAGUCGUAACAAGGUAGC
rnacentral:rRNA from 1 species